rnacentral:rRNA from 1 species
UGGGGAAUUUUGGACAAUGGGCGAAAGCCUGAUCCAGCAAUGCCGCGUGUGUGAAGAAGGCCUUCGGGUUGUAAAGCACUUUUGUCCGGAAAGAAAUCCUUGGCUCUAAUACAGUCGGGGGAUGACGGUACCGGAAGAAUAAGCACCGGCUAACUACGUGCCAGCAGCCGCGGUAAUACGUAGGGUGCAAGCGUUAAUCGGAAUUACUGGGCGUAAAGCGUGCGCAGGCGGUUUGCUAAGACCGAUGUGAAAUCCCCGGGCUCAACCUGGGAACUGCAUUGGUGACUGGCAGGCUAGAGUAUGGCAGAGGGGGGUAGAAUUCCACGUGUAGCAGUGAAAUGCGUAGAGGUGUGGAGGAAUACCGAUGGCGAAGGCAGCCCCCGUGGGCCAAUACUGACGCUCAUGCACGAAAGCGUGGGGAGCAAACAGGAUUAGAUACCCUGGUAGUCCACGCCCUAAAACGAUGUCAACUAGUUGUUGGGGAUUCAUUUCCUUAGUAACGUAGCUAACGCGUGAAGUUGACCGCCUGGGGAGUACGGUCGCAAGAUUAAAACUCAAAUGAAUUGACGGGGUCAUAGCUGUUUCCU